rnacentral:misc_RNA from 1 species
GAGAGUGGGAAGAAGGACUGGCGGCUGUAUUUUAAUACACUCUUCUGGAAUCUGAAUUUCUGGGAUAAUGCGAGCACUUUGGCUGGGGAGGUGGAGCGGCCAAAGAAGACGUUUCCGCGGGCGCUGCUGGCAUCGGGGAUUCUGACAAUUGCGGGUUACCUUGUGCCGCUACUUGCAGGGACGGGGGCUCUCGAUGUGCCGAAGGAGGCUUGGGAGGAUGG